CUCUCGGGGAGUGUUAUAGCCCGUUGCGAAAUGCGGCCAGCUUGGACUGAGGUCCGCGCUUCGGCUAGGAUGCUGGCGUAAUGGUUGUAAGCGGCCCGUCUUGAAACACGGACCAAGGAGUCUAACAUCUGUGCGAGUGUUUGGGUGUCAAACCCGUACGCGUAAUGAAAGUGAACGGAGGCGGGAACCUCUCGGGGUGCACCGUCGACCGAUCCUGAUGUCUUCGGAUGGAUUUGAGUAAGAGCAUAGCUGUUGGGACCCGAAAGAUGGUGAACUAUGCCUGAAUAGGGUGAAGCCAGAGGAAACUCUGGUGGAGGCUCGCAGCGGUUCUGACGUGCAAAUCGAUCGUCAAAUUUGGGCAUAGGGGCGAAAGACUAAUCGAACUAUCUAGUAGCUGGUUCCUGCCGAAGUUUCCCUCAGGAUAGCAGUAACGUUUUCAGUUUUAUGAGGUAAAGCGAAUGAUUAGAGGCCUGGGGGUUGAAACAACCUUCACCUAUUCUCAAACUUUAAAUAUGUAAGAAGUCCUUGUUGCUUAGUUGAACGUGGACAUUUGAAUGUAUCGUUACUAGUGGGCCAUUUUUGGUAAGCAGAACUGGCGAUGCGGGAUGAACCGAACGCGGAGUUAAGGUGCCGGAAUGCACGCUCAUCAGACACCACAAAAGGUGUUAGUUCAUCUAG
rnacentral:rRNA from 1 species